GUUCUGGUUCUACGUAUGAGCUCACCAUAGAGACUGGAGUUACCAACAAUAGAAAGGAUCGUGUCCAUGACAACCAGAAAAACUCAAAGCAGUGGCUGAUUUUAACCAUCUGGUUCUAAUCUUGUUCUGUAUAUUUCUCUUUUCCUCAUGGGUUUUGCUUACUGCUUCAUUAAAGUGCUGUCACACUGCUACACAGAGAGGCAGACAAGAAAGUGUCCAUGCUGUCUGUAGGGAGAGGUGGCAUAAGUAUCUGUAUAUAGCAGCAGAUGUGAUAUGCACAGUUGAGAGCAGAGGUGACAAUUUCCCACUAAAGAUAUCAGAAAAGCUUCCUGGAUUCUUCAUUUGCACUCGACCUUCAGGAUGCAGGGAGAAAGAGGAGGCAGCAACCCAGUGGUGCCCCUGAGAAGCCAGGGAACCAGGACUGAGACCCUGGAGAAGCCAAAGGAAGAGAGCGGCUAGAGAAGAACAGGGGAUCCAGGGGAGUGGCAGCUUGAACUCAUGUGAAAGCACCAAUGAGCCAACAGGGAGAAGAGGAGAGGAGCCCGCCACAAGGACAUUUUGGGAACUAGAAACCAGGUGGAUGAGAGACAAGGUCCUGCUAAAUUACUCAAAUUGGACUCAAACUCACAAUCCUCCUGCCUCAACCUCCCAGAGUGCUGGGGUUACAGGCAUGUAUCACCACACCCAGCUAGGAUUUCACUUCUUUCGUAUCUCCUUAUUUACCAAGGAGGAUCUGUGUGAUGAUGAAAGAUAA
rnacentral:lncRNA from 1 species